rnacentral:rRNA from 1 species
CUACGGGUCGCACCAGUGAGGAAUAUUGCACAAUGGGGGGAACCCUGAUGCAGCAACGCCGCGUGGAGGAUGACGCAUUUCGGUGUGUAAACUCCUUUUAUAUGUCAAGAAAAUGACGGUAGCAUAUGAAUAGGCACCGGCUAACUCCGUGCCAGCAGCCGCGGUAAUACGGAGGGUGCAAGCGUUACACGGAAUCACUGGGCGUAAAGGGCGCGUAGGCGGGUUGGAAAGUCAGGUGUGAAAUCCUACAGCUUAACUGUAGAACUGCACUUGAAACUUCUAAUCUAGAGUAUGGGAGGGGGAGAUGGAAUUAGUGGUGUAGGGGUAAAAUCCGUAGAUAUCACUAGGAAUACCUAAAGCGAAGGCGAUCUCCUGGAACAUUACUGACGCUAAGGCGUGAAAGCGUGGGGAGCAAACAGGAUUAGAUACCCCGGUAGUC